AAUCAACGCUGGCGGCGUGCCUCAGACAUGCAAGUCGUACGAUUAAAGCUCUCUUCGGAGAGUGUAUAGAGUGGCGUACGGGUGAGUAACACGUAAGUAAUCUACCUUCGAGUGGGGAAUAACAGUCGGAAACGACUGCUAAUACCGCAUAAUGCAGCGGCACCUAAUGGUGACAGUUGUUAAAGCAUUUAUGUGCUUGAAGAGGAGCUUGCGGCAGAUUAGCUAGUUGGUAAGGUAAUGGCUUACCAAGGCGACGAUCUGUAGCCGACCUGAGAGGGUGGUCGGUCACACUGACACUG
rnacentral:rRNA from 1 species